UCUCCCCCUCUAAUAUUCUAUUAGCCUAUCUCUCUCUCUCUCUUGUAUCUUCUUCUUCACAAAUCAACCCUAACCGUGUUCCCCUCUGUCUCUUUUUCUCUCCCUCUAAAAAUAGCCACACACACUACAAUCUCUUGCCUUCUCUCAAUCUCUCGUUCAUCCCACUCACAGUGACUAUUUCUUUCGCUCUCUCUGGUUUGGAACCAUCGUUCACCGACCUCUCUCUCUCAUUCUCUUUUAGAUGUGGGUGCUAAGGAUCAAUGAUGAAGGGUCCCAAGAAAGGGCUUUGGGACGAUGAUGAAAAGACGCAAUAAGGGGCGAAGCAGAUGCUCCCCAAAGUGCUUUGACCCUUUCUUCUCCCUAGCGCGAACCAGAGGCCUUUCCUCCAUGGGCGAUGGGCAACCGAGUCUGUCCAUUAUGUGAAGUAAUGUAACUUUAACCCAUUUUUUUAAUUUAUGAUAUAUGAAGUAUGAUUUAUAUGUAAACUAAGGUAACUGAGCUUGUCAAUUUUGAUUUUUUUUUUGGUGUUGAUUUAUGGAUUUGAAAGUUUAACAGCGCCAUUCACAAGGGUAUGCCCCACAAGUUCUACCAUGGCCGAACUGGGCGUGUCUGGAACAUCACCAAGCGCGCUAUUGGCUUGGAGGUUAACAAGCAAGUUGGGAACCGCAUCAUUAAGAAGAGGAUUCAUGUUCGUGUGGAGCAUGUCCAGCCCUCUAGAUGCACUGAGGAGUUCAGAAACAGAAAGUUAAGGAAUGAUAAGCUCAAGGCCGAGGCCAAGUUGAAGGGUGAGGCCAUCAGCACCAAGAGGCAGCCAGAGGGUCCCAAGCCAGGUUUCAUGGUCGAAGGAGCUCAGUUGGAAACUGUCACCCCCAUUCCUUAUGAUGUUGUCAACGAUCUCAAGGAAAUAUUCCAAGAGUCCAAGAUUUUCGGUUUAUGAAAGAAAAAAAGCAAGAGGCAUUCUCAUGACACCAGGUCUUCAAGGCAGCUCACCUCACUAGUCAUGGCAUCAAUUCGGAAGGACACCUCAAAGCUUCACAAAAGCUAGAUGGCAGCAAGCAGUAGGCACAACACCUCAGUAUCUCACGACAUCAGAUUUUGAAGCAUGAUUGGCCAGCAAGAUGGCAAAGCUUUAUUCCUGAUCUUGUUUCAGCUGCUAAAACUAGUGAAAAAAUUUCUUCUAAGUGAAGAGGUGUUUGAUUUCUCAAGAGGAGAGAUGACUCAAAGUAAGAUAAAGGAGCUUAAACAAUCAUUGAACAGGUAGAUAAUUUAUGUUUUCUUUUAUUUUUAUUUCAUUUUGGGAUGCAUUUCAUGUUUUAUAUUGUAAUGUUUCAUGAGUGCUCUUUUUUUUUUUCCUUCUGUAGACUUAUCAUUUGCUUAUAAUUAUAUAUAUAUUAAGGACAGUUCUUUUAGAUAUCCUUUGAUGAGAAAUCAUUAUGCACUUUUUAAGUUAUUUUUAUUCACUAUUAUACACAUAUUUUGAUACAAUGUCUUCCGGGUGAACUGCCACCACAAAGUCAAGUGAUCUGAUCACUUAUCUUGGACUACUGAUAGUCACGUACU